GACGAACGCUGGCGGCGUGCUUAACACAUGCAAGUCGAACGGAAAGGCCCUGCUUUUGUGGGGUGUUCGAGUGGCGAACGGGUGAGUAACACGUGAGUAACCUGCCCUUGACUUUGGGAUAACUUCAGGAAACUGGGGCUAAUACCGGAUAGGAGCUCCUGCUGCAUGGUGGGGGUUGGAAAGAUUCGGCGGUUGGGGAUGGACUCGCGGCUUAUCAGCUUGUUGGUGGGGUAGUGGCUUACCAAGGCUUUGACGGGUAGCCGGCCUGAGAGGGUGACCGGCGACAUUGGGACUGAGAUACGGCCCAGACUCGUACGGGAGGCAGCAGGGGGGAAUAUUGCACAAUGGGCGGAAGCCUGAUGCAGCAACGCCGCGUGCGGGAUGACGGCCUUCGGGUGGUAAACCGCUUUCGCCGGUGACAAAGCGUGAGUGACGGUAAUGGGUAAAGAAGCACCGGCUAACUACGUG
rnacentral:rRNA from 1 species